ensembl:lncRNA
AAGGUCCUACAGUUGAAAGUGCAUAUCAGAGCAAAAACCAAGCCAUGAGGUCGAAGGAAUUGUCCGUAGAGCUCCGAGACAGGAUUGUGUCGAGGCAAAAACAAGUGACCCCAAACUUUCUAAGUGACCCCAAACUUUCUAAGUGACCCCAAACUUUUGAAAGAUCAGCAUGGACUACACUGACUGAGACAGCUGUUGCCAAUUCCCUAUCACCACCUCCCUCCCUGCUAAACAUGUCCCAGAACUAGAGUUUAAAGGAACUGGAACUUAUCUUCAGAGUGCCAUUUGGACCGGUGACCUCUCGGCUGACGGCCUGUCAUACAUUAACUUGACAAAUCAAUCUCUGUAGCACUGUUAAAGGAAAGUGCUUGUUUCGAGUGUGACUCCAAUAGUUGGCCAGUACAUGCUUUACCGGACACAACUCCGAUAGGUUGCACCCAACGCUACAAGACCCGGUGCAGAUCGAGAGACUGCCCAGCAAACAGCCACCGACAACCAAGCCAGGCAACCAAGAGCUCAACUCAAACAAUGCUCUCUUUAGCACUAUUAAAGACACAGGGUACACUCCCGGCGCAGCUGCAAGAGGCUACACCCAAUGCUACCAUAUGGCCUGUCCUGUGCGGAGAGAGGGACAGCCGGCAACCUGCCAUUGGCAACCUAACCAGCCAUGGACUCUCGGACCAGCCAUUGACUAACGUCCCCUGCUUGCAAAAUUGUAUGUCCCCUGACCUGGUGGAGCAGCAGGAACUUCAGAGACAGGAGGGAACCGACAGAGAGGGAAGAAAGGAAAGAGUGUUUGCUUCUACAGAGGAGAGGACGUACCUUUCGGAAGGGAGAAGAAGGGGACACACCACCUUUUGGGAAUGGUCACCACGAAUCCGGACGACCACCCGAAGGGAGCUCUCCAUGGAAGGAUCGGGAAGACAGUGACACACGCGUGAUUUAUGUUAUAGUUUAAAGAUACUCAAGUUGUGUUACUUGUUCUUUUUUUGUAAUUUUAUUUGAACCCCUUUUCUCCCCAAUUUCAUGGUAUCCAAUUGUUUAGUAGCUACUAUCUUGUCUCAUCAUACGGGAGAAGGUUGAAAGUCAUGCGUCCUCCGAUACACAACCCAACCAAGCCGCACUGCUUCUUAACACAGCGCGCAUCCAACCCGGAAGCCAGCCGCACCAAUGUGUUGGAGGAAACACCGUGCACCCGGCAACCUUGGUUAGCGCGCACUGCGCCCGGCCCGCCACAGGAGUUGCUGGUGCGCGAUGAGACAAGGAUAUCCCUACUGGCCAACCCCUCCCUAAACCGGACGACGCUAGGCCAAUUGUGCGUCGCCCCACGGACCUCCCGGUCGCGGCCGGUUACGACAGAGCCUGGGCACGAACCCAGAGUCUCUGGUGGCACAGCUGGCGCUGCAUUACGGCGCCCAUAACCGCUGCGCCACCCGGGAGCUGUGUUCCUUGUUCUUGUGAAGAUUUGUGUUUUCCUUUGGAUAUCGUCCUUGAUUGUGUUUGAGAACGUUGUUCAAUAAAGAGAACCUGCUGCUGACUCAUUUAUUCACCUUUCCGCUUUAGAGCAACCUCCAAGUACUUGGACUGUUCACAUUGGUGGAGAAUGCGGGCACUAGGUGGAAAUGAAAAUCUACCUGUCGACAGAGAGGAACCAUUCAAGAAGGAUGGAUAACGCUCUACUACAACAGUUCAUCAAGUCCCAGCAGACAACCAUAGAACUCAUGCAACAGCUGAGCCGACGAGAAGAACCGAGAUUGAAGCCGAGAGCGACUGCUCACGCCAUCUUACCUCGCCUCUCAAAGGAGGAUGAUAUUGAGCCUUUCGUCCUGAUGUUCGAAAGGAGCUGUAAAGAUGGAGCCGUAAAGUUCCAUCAAAGGACCUACAUGGCCAACAAAUCCGUCCGUGCCCAGAUCUUUGCACUCCUAUGACUAACGAAACAGUGGCUGGAGCCCGGGAAGGGAGUAGGACAUGUCGUAGAGACGCUCGUAGUGGACAAGAUUUUGAUGGAAUUACCCUUAAAAAGGGUCGUGGGGCAAGCAAACCCGUCAUCAGCCGACAACAUAGCCCAGGCUGUGGAAACGUACCGAUUUACAUAGGAGUUCAAUCGAGGACCGGAAGGACUUUGCCAAGCCCGUUCCCUGACUAACCCCGGCAUAUCAUCCACCGACACGACCGAACCCGCUCCGGAUGUGGGAGAAGUCAUCACCCACACAACAGGGUCAGUGCUAUAAAUGACAGACCAUUACGCCCCACAAUGUCCCAGAAAGGAUGAGUCCAUGGCCACCAAGUCAUCGCUGCCCGUCCCCGCGCAUCCCGGUCCGAGAGGGCAGGAUCAGCUCUGUUGGUUAGCAGAACCAGGCGCCCGGCCAUCCGGUCUUGAGGGGGGAGGUAUGUGGAAGGACCACCAGAGGAUCAGGGCUGGGCUACUGUCUGUAGGAGUAUGUGAGUCAAGGUGAUCAGAGGCAAUUAAGCACAGCUGACGGUACUAAUGAGAUAUUCUCUUUCCCCUACAAGAGACCGGAGGGAACCGGCAGAGAGGGAAGAAAGAAAAGAGUGUUUGCUUCUACAGGGGAGAUGACGUACCUUUCGGAAGGGAGAAGAAGGGGACACACCACCUUUUGGGAAUGGUCACCACGGAUCCGGACGACCACCCGAAGGGAGCUCUCCAUGGAAGGAUCGUGAAGGCUGUGACACACCCGUGAUUUAUGUUAUAGUUUAAAGAUACUCACCUUGUGUUCCUUGUUCUUGUGAAGAUUUGUUGGGAUAUCAUCCUUGAUUGUGUUUGAGAAGAAAAAAUUACCUCAAUAGAGAACUUUGUUCAAUUAAGAAUCUGAUCCUGACACGUUUAUUCCGCCUUUCUGCUUUAGAGGAACCUCCAAAUACUUGGACCGUUCACACUAUGCCAUGAGUAACGUACCGUACGCCAAACUGCCACUUCUCCAGAUGCACAAUAUUUAUUUUGUGGGAGUUUUUGAAAAGAAAAGUAAAUCAAAUGAAGUGCAGAUUCUCCAUUUUAUAGCUGUGAAAUUUCCUACAUUGCAGUAGCCAAUCUGAAUCUUCCGCGAAUAAGAGUAAAUGCGCAUACUGAGCACAACGCACACACGCUAUACCAAGAUAGUAUCAGGGAAGGGUUAACGUAGGCUGUUUGUAAUUUAUAUAGUAUUGCCAUCACUUUACAGUAGCACACAACCACUGUGUAGAGACUAAAGAGGGUCAUUGUAGGGUCUGAUCUGCAAUGAUUCCAUUUGUGUUA